CCGGAGAGGGAGCCUGAGAAACGGCUACCACAUCCAAGGAAGGCAGCAGGCGCGCAAAUUACCCAAUCCCAAUACGGGGAGGUAGUGACAAUAAAUAACAAUAUGGGGCUCUUACGGGUCUCGUAAUUGGAAUGAGUACAAUUUAAAUCUCUUAACGAGGAACAAUUGGAGGGCAAGUCUGGUGCCAGCAGCCGCGGUAAUUCCAGCUCCAAUAGCGUAUAUUAAAGUUGUUGCAGUUAAAAAGCUCGUAGUUGAAUUUCGGAAUUUGUCGGUUGGUCGGGCUUCACUGUCCGCACUGACCUGAUGAAUUUCUACCUUCUGAAUAACCAGCAUGCUAUUUAGUUAGUGCGUUGGGGAAGCAGAGCUAUUACCUUGAAAAAAUUAGAGUGCUUAAAGCAGGCUUAUGCUUGAAUAGAUUAGCAUGGAAUAAUAAAAUAGGACGGCAUGGUUCUAUUUUGUUGGUUUCUAGGAUCACCGUAAUGAUUAAUAGGGAUAGUUGGGGGCAUUAGUAUUCAAUUGUCAGAGGUGAAAUUCUUGGAUUUAUUGAAGACUAACUUCUGCGAAAGCAUUUGCCAAGGAUGUUUUCAUUAAUCAAGAACGAAAGUUAGGGGAUCGAAGACGAUCAGAUACCGUCGUAGUCUUAACCAUAAACUAUGCCGACUAGGGAUCGGACGAUGUUAAUUUUUUAAUGACUCGUUCGGCGCU
rnacentral:rRNA from 1 species